rnacentral:rRNA from 1 species
AACGCGAAGAACCUUACCUGGGUUUGACAUGCACUGGACGCUGCCAGAGAUGGUAGUUCCGCAAGGCUGGUGCACAGGUGGUGCAUGGCUGUCGUCAGCUCGUGUCGUGAGAUGUUGGGUUAAGUCCCGCAACGAGCGCAACCCUCGUUCCAUGUUGCCAGCGCGUAAUGGCGGGGACUCAUGGGAGACUGCCGGGGUCAACUCGGAGGAAGGUGGGGAUGAGGUCAAGUCAUCAUGCCCCUUAUGUCCAGGGCUUCACACAUGCUACAAUGGCCGGUACAGAGGGCUGCGAAGCCGUGAGGUGGAGCGAAUCUCACAAAGCCGGUCUCAGUUCGGAUCGGGGUCUGCAACUCGACCCCGUGAAGUCGGAGUCGCUAGUAAUCGCAGAUCAGCAACGCUGCGGUGAAUACGUUCCCGGGCCUUGUA